rnacentral:rRNA from 1 species
UAUGUGAUCGUCUCUCGCAUAUCAAUAAGCGGAGGAAAAGAAACUAACAAGGAUUCCCCUAGUAACGGCGAGUGAAGCGGGAAGAGCUCAAAUUUGAAAUCUUAAAGGGUUUCCCUUUACGAAUUGUAGUUUAAAGAAGUGUUUUCUGUUGAGGUUUUGGUAAAAGUUCUUUGGAAUAGGACAUCAUAGAGGGUGAGAAUCCCGUAUUUGACCUUUACUUUCAACUUUGUGAUACACUUUCAAAGAGUCGGAUUGUUUGGGAAUGCAGUCCAAAAUGGGUGGUAAAUUUCAUCUAAAGCUAAAUAUUGGCGAGAGACCGAUAGCGAACAAGUACCGUGAGGGAAAGAUGAAAAGAACUUUGAAAAGAGAGUUAAACAGUACGUGAAAUUGUCAAAAGGGAAGCGUUUGACACCAGUAUUGUUUUUCUGAAAAUCAAUUAAAGAACUGUUUAUGCUAAGUUGUUUAGACUUUAUCAGCUAACUGUUUAGUUUUGAGCUUUUCUUUAAUGCACUUUUCAGUUAACAAGUCAAGCAUCAAUUUCUUUUGCUGUAAAAAAGCUUGAGGAAGGUGGCUUGAGAUUCGUCUUAAGUGUUUAUAGCCUCUUGCCUAUGCAGUCGGAGAGAUUGAGGUCUGCAGCGUAGAUCCUUCGGGGCUAAAUGCAUUUGUGCUAAGUUAUAGCAUUUUAUAGACAACUUGUUGACUAUGAUUUGUCUUGUAGCUUACUCGCUUAUGUUAUUUUACCUACGCUUAGGAUGUUGAGUAGCGACAUACGCAC